GAUGAACGCUAGCGGGAGGCCUAACACAUGCAAGCCGAGCGGUAUUUCUUCUUCGGGAGAGAGAGAGCGGCGUACGGGUGCGGAACACGUGUGCAACCUGCCUUUAUCUAGAGGAUAGCCUUUCGAAAGGAAGAUUAAUACCCUAUAAUAUAUUAAUUGGCAUCAAUUGAUAUUGAAAACUCCGGUGGAUAGAGAUGGGCACGCGCAAGAUUAGCUAGUUGGUGAGGUAACGGCUCACCAAGGCAAUGAUCUUUAGGGGGCCUGAGAGGGUGCUCCCCCACACUGGUACGGAGACACGGACCAGACUCCUACGGGAGGCAGCAGUGAGGAAUAUUGGUCAAUGGGUGCAAGCCUGAACCAGCCAGCCCGCGUGAAGGAUUAAGGUCCUAUGGAUUGUAAACUUCUUUUGUAUAGGGAUAAACCUACCCUCGUGAGGGUAGCUGAAGGUACUAUACGAAUAAGCACCGGCUAACUCCGUGCCAGCAGCCGCCGUAA
rnacentral:rRNA from 1 species